CUUGCAUACUGUGACGAAAUAUG
rnacentral:siRNA from 1 species